GCCAGGAUAGUUCAAUGGUAGAACGUUAAUUUCAUGCAUUAAAUAUGAGAAUUCAAGUUUCUCUCC
rnacentral:tRNA from 1 species